UACGGAGGGUGCAAGCGUUAAUCGGAAUUACUGGGCGUAAAGGGUCCGUAGGUGGUUAAACAAGUCAGAUGUGAAAGCCCUGGGCUUAACCUAGGAACUGCAUUUGAUACUAUUUAACUAGAGUUUACUAGAGGAUUGGGGAAUUUCCGGUGUAGCGGUGAAAUGCGUAGAGAUCGGAAAGAACAUCAAUGGCGAAGGCAACAAUCUGGGCUUAAACUGACACUAAGGGACGAAAGCGUGGGUAGCAAACAGG
rnacentral:rRNA from 1 species